UACGGAGGGAGCUAGCGUUGUUCGGAAUUACUGGGCGUAAAGCGCGCGUAGGCGGCUUUGUAAGUUAGAGGUGAAAGCCCGGGGCUCAACCCCGGAACUGCCUUUAAGACUGCAUCGCUUGAAUCCGGGAGAGGUGAGUGGAAUUCCGAGUGUAGAAGUGAAAUUCGUAGAUAUUCGGAAGAACACCAGUGGCGAAGGCGGCUCACUGGACCGGCAUUGACGCUGAGGUGCGAAAGCGUGGGGAGCAAACAGG
rnacentral:rRNA from 1 species